AUGUCGUCGUUCGCCGGUGUGUCUGUAGUCGACGGCGACAAGGAGUGCUCUUGCGAGACAUCGGCCGUCCACGCCGGCGCCGACAGCGGGUAUCACCUGCUCAUGGUCAGGGGCUACCCGCGUACACAGGAGGGGUCAUCCACCGGCGACAGCAUCACCACUGGUAUUUUCAAUGUAGGAGGCCACUAUUGGUACAUCCGGUACUACCCUAACGGCUUAACCCCGGAUUGCGCCGACUACGUUUCCCUCUAUGUAGCCCUUGUCUACGACAACGACGAUGCCGAGCGUGGCCUGGCCGUGGAGGCCAAGUUCAGUUUUAGCCUCGUCGACCAUGUUGAGAAGCAGAAUCCAAUGUACAUUUGUGAAGCUAGCAAGACUUGCACCUUCUCCGGCAGUGCUACCUCGUGGGGCUGUGACAGGUUUAUGAGAAGAGAUGCCAUCGAACGAUCAUCGGAUCUGAAGGGUGGUUGUUUCACCGUCCGGUGCGACAUCAUGGUUGUUUGCCAGGAUUCCAAAACCGAGGACGCCGGUCGCACCCUGUCUGGCAUACACCACCAUUUUAACAAUCUUUUGCAAACCAAGGUGGGUGCUGAUGUGACAUUCGAGGUCAGUGGCGAGAGGUUCGCUGCACACCGGUGUGUGCUUGCAGCCAGGUCUAAAGUAUUCAUGGCAUAA
rnacentral:rRNA from 1 species